rnacentral:rRNA from 1 species
UACGUAGGGGGCAAGCGUUGUCCGGAUUUAUUGGGCGUAAAGCGCUCGCAGGCGGUCCGAUGCGUCGUGCGUGAAAGACCCCGGCUCAACUGGGGAGGGUCGUGCGAUACGGUCGGACUCGAGGCCAGUAGGGGGACGCGGAAUUCCGGGUGUAGUGGUGGAAUGCGUAGAGAUCCGGAGGAACACCAGCGGCGAAGGCGGCGUCCUGGACUGGUACUGACGCUGAGACGCGAAAGCGUGGGGAGCGAACAGG